CAGCUCGUCAUGCUAGAGCAUGUUUUCAAUGGACUCCCCAACAACAAGGCGACGACGCAUUCGUAUGUCAUCCAUUUCAACUUUUGAUGCCAUUUACUGCGCCUCCCAUGGUGACCAUGGGUAAUGGGGAAUCAGGGUUCAAUUCCUGAGAGGGAGCCUGAGAAACGGCUACCACAUGCAUGGAAGGCAGCAGGCGCGCAAAUGACCCACUCCCGACGUGGGAAGGUAUUGA
rnacentral:rRNA from 1 species